UGUCCACUGAUGACCUCACGUUGUAGCUUGUGCCAGUCACCUGAUCCAUUUCCUCCUUCCAGGUAUCCCGACUGGAACGUGGAAACUGUCGCUGUAUCACGAAAUGAAAGCAUCCAGUUGUCCUCCAAGCGCCGUCGGACAACACGCUCCGCCUCCCGUUCUUCAUCCUGGUCUCGCUCUCCUUCUCCUCUUCGCGCCUUCUCCUACCACACCCCUUCCUCCUCUACUCGCCGACCUCGAUCCAGGGAACGAUCCAGGGAACGAUCCCGCGAACGUCGACACAACACCACCACCCGGCGUUCCCGGUCUCCGGGUUCACUUCGGGGCAGGGAGAGAGAACGUGACCCUCCGGCCUCGUCGUCUUCCCACCGGGAUCAGGAACGUCGACCUCAGACAGCCUCUUCAUCCCGGAGGUCGCGCUCUAGGAGCUAUGAGCGGGAGAGAGCGAGGGAACGUCGGGAGACGACGAGGAGGAGCAGCCUGCCGAAGUCUAACAGUGCUGAGAGACUGGCCAAGAAACUACUGGAGUCAUCUGGUGAGACACACACACACACACUGG